GAAAUUGAUAGAUAUGCUACUCCAACUCAUGGACUGGUUAACUGUUCUUGGUAUGCUCCUAAGGCGUGCUGUAAAACUACAGAAGUCAUAUCAGUGUUUACCAAAAUGUUUCCUUUGUAUGAAGCUUCACAGGCAUGUCAGAACCAACUUAAUUAUAUGAUGUGCUUUUUCAGUGACCCAAAUCAAAGAAUUUGGUAUAAUCA
rnacentral:lncRNA from 1 species